rnacentral:lncRNA from 1 species
AAAGAUUAGGUCUAUUCAUUCUUUCUAACUAUUUUGUGUACCUUUUAAAAUUGAGGUUCAAAAGGAAGUUGUAAUGGUUUCAAAACAAUUGAGAUCAGGGAUCUCUAAAUGGGGCUUUGAGGCACCGGGAAACAUACCCUUACCCUAACCUGCAAAUGGGACUCUGAGAAUGUAAAUGCUUAGGUCAAGUUACCAACUAAAUAACAAAGGCUAAGCCCAGAUAUCAGUUCUAUAAUUUGAGGUGCCCCCACCAUUAUUUUCUCUUGAUCCUCAAGUUUCUUACUCUUUUUACUCAUUUCAAUAUUGUCCAGCUGUAGAUGAAUUCUAUUUUUAGAAGUUAGUGUGGUUACAUUUAAACCUAAUUUUCAAACUGACUUGCUUGAGAUCCAAAGCACAUUUUUAAGCGUCAGAGCUCUAGGAACAGAAAAUAGCAUCCCUGGGAUGACAGGAAGGAUGCCCUGUGCCUGGAGGAGGUCUCUCUCCAGGAUUCAGCACACCGUGGAGCUGUGGGAAGUGUGUUAUCUCUGUCAUGAGAGAGAAAGGAGUGGCUGGCUCAGCAAGAUUAGAGCCUCUCUCUGGAUUGUUCCUCAGAACCAGAAGAACUGUGUGGAGUGGCAGCAACUGGAGGAAGCAGAAUGUCCCCGAGCAAGAUUGUCAAGAGAAAAAAGUUACAUGUAUAAAAUCUACAGUAGAAUUGGAAGAUGGAUCUAAUGAGAAUAACACUAAGGAAACACCAUCCUUCAAAAACUAAAAGCUCCUUGAUGAGACACCAGGCGAAAGGCAAGAUGCCAGAGUAUAAAUGACUUUGAGACAAGAAAAUGAAGUGUCCCAGAAGAGGAAAUGCAGUAAGUGUUGGGGAUAAAAAGAAGGUUAGAAAGCGAACAAUUUCAGAAGGGAAGAAAUGACCUCUAAAAGGGAAGCUGGGAUGAUAGCAAAGGCAAUGUCAACGUCCUCACAAUUUCACUUAGAUUUUCCUGGCUACUCUGCAGAAGGCAUGAUAAGAUAAAUGCUUAUUGAUUUCAAGAUCAAGGCAACAGGAUCCUUUCUGUUUAAUUAUUUCUUUGUAAGUUAAAAACUAAAUGCUUUGGCAAGUGCUGUAAAUACAAAGGGCAGGGGUAUUCAGUGCCCUUAGAAUCAAUGGCAAGUUCAAGCUGUGUGUGACAAGGGAUAACCAUUAUUCAUCCAUUCAUUCUAACAAAGUCUGUAAAUGACUACCAUGCAUUAGGUGAUGGUCUGGUCACUGAAAUAUCAGAGACAGGUAAAGCUCAGUCUCUGUUCUUAAGGACCUCAGGGUUUAGAAGAAGAAAAAGACAUAUAAGUAAGUACAAUAGAAAUAUAAACAAGAACCAAAGGUAGCUCAGGGGAAGUGAGUAACUCUUAGAGGAAAAUAUUAAAUAAAGGAUUUCUGGAUGAGAGGAUGUUUGAACUGAAUUCUGAAGAUGAAUAAAAGUCCUUCUGGAGAAAUAAAAACACCAUUUUGGCAGAAAUAAUAGUAUAUGUGAAUACAUUUAGAACAAAGCAUGGAAACUAUGUUUAGGAUAUUGUCAUAAGCUUGGUAUCUUUAGAGCAUUUUGUGUAAGUGGUGAGGGGAGAAAAUGGGAGGAGAUAAAAAACGUAAACGUAGGGUAGGGUAGAUUAUGAAUGGAUAGAAAUGUCUCUUAAAGCAUCUGAACUAUACCCAAAUGCCUAGGAGGAGAAAGUGAAGCAUUCAAAGCAGAAGAAACCAGGAAUGGGUUUGCCAGCAGCGUUGAGAAUAAGUUGGAAGACAGAAAUAAGUGAAUUAUAGACACAGAUAUAUAUUUUUGAGUAAUCAGAAAUAGUGAGAAAUAAAGAGAGUCUUGCCUAAGACAGUGGUAGUGGAAAGAAAACAGCAGCAAGACUUAAGAGAUAGUCAAGAAAUAUUCAAUAGAAUCUGGUGAUGACUGAUGUGAGGUGUGAGAGAGACUUCAAGUUCUCUGGUCCAUGGAGAAGGAAGCAUGUUGAAUCUGAGGGGCCAGUAGACAUCUACAUAGCAGGAAAUAAUCGAGAGGGACUGCUGGUGUAAAGAUAUGAAGAGCACCAAAUUCCAUCACUUAUUUAUUUGAUGCUUGCCUCAUAGUAGUCACUCCUAACCCCAAAGGUCUCAGAGUCUCAGUAAUCUCCAAAGAAGGUGCAUGUAAUUAUAGAACACUGAGUUAUUUAAUUACACUACUAGAGGAAGUAUACGGUGUGACGAGAGCAUAGAGAAGGGUUCUUAACAAAGACUUGGCAUAAGGUAGCAUGGAGAGAGGGCAGCAGGCCAGGCAGGUUAGAGAAAAAAAAAAGUGUAAGCUGACAUCUAAAGACCUAGUAGAAAUGAACCAGAAAAAAAGGAAUACAGAAAUUUUUCAAGCAGUGAAAGUCCCAUGUGCCAUGACCAGGAAGCGAUAAUGGGCAUGGCGUACCUGAGAAAUUGUGGAAUGUUCCAUCGCUGGAGUGUCAAGUCUAAAAGGAGAACAGCAAGAGCUGAAGCUGGGAAAGUUAGCUUUGGCAUGAUCAUGGCACAAGCUAUUUUAUAGAACUUAAACUUUAUCUAGUGUGCAAGAGAAAGCCACUUAAGGAUUUUUUAGCAGGGUAGUGAUACAAUCAGAUUUGUAUUUUAAAAACUCAUUCCAGCUACUGUGUGGAAAAUGAGAUGUUAAUUAAAAUAGUGAGCCUCGAUGUGAUUUCCUAGGAUAAAGACCACAAUUUGAUUCAACCUGCUAAUGUGCUCUGGCCUUCAGGGUGCAUUUAAAAAAUUUAUUCAUUUAAUUCUGAGUUAGUUGUGAACAUUUAAAAAUUGGGAACUCUCACAUAAAAUCAGGGUUCCAGGGUUCUUUUGACAAAGUAGAUCUGGCAAAGCUGUGUCCUUACUCCUGACCUGUCAGCAACUGGCUGGAGCUGAGUUGUCCACAAAAUGAUGCUUUUAUACAACGUAGGUGCCCUUCUGCUCACCACAGUCCAAUGGAGGCAUUUAGUUUGAUUUUAGUGCCCCGGAAUUAACCAGAGAGAACAUGUAGACUGAGAAUAAAGAACCGCUGGACAUGCCUAUCUAAAACCAAACUCCUCUGCCAGAUGACAUCCCCAUUUCCUACUCAUGAUUUUUGUUUUAUCAAUUUUUUUCUCAUCAAAUUUUCCCCUCUACCGGGUCAUUUCCAUUGACAUAAAAACAUGUUAUUUUUCUGUCUUAACAAGAAUUUUUCUUGGCUCUCUUCCCCACCAGCUACCCCCAUAACUUUGUUCUCUUUUCCUCUCAAAUCAUCUUCUCAAGCCAACCACUCUAGGAACACCGCUCAUGUCAGUGUCAUCAAGGACUUUCUUGCUGCCAAUUUCAAUGUGUAGUUCUUAGUCCUCACCUUACUUAACCUAUCUGCGGUAAUCAACACAAAGUUAGUCAUUGCCUUUUAUUUGAAACGAUGUUUUACCCCCUUGACUUUUAGGAUACACUACAUAUCUUGAGGAUCUUUCUACCUUGCUGACUCUUCCUUCUUAGUCUCUUUUAUGAAUUCUUCUUUCUCAAGGCCGGAGAGCCUCAUAUCUUAGUCUUUGUAUCUCUUCUCUGUCUGUACUCACUCCUUGUCAUUCAGGGCUGUCAACAACCUUAUGUCUUUAAAUACCAUCUAUAUGUUAAAAGCUUCCAAGUUCCUUACUCCAGCCCCUACCUUUCUCUUGAGCACCAUUCUCCCAAUGCCUAGUUGAUUUUUGACAUCUAACUAAAAAGCAUCUAAAGUUCACUAUGUUAAAUACAAACUUGGAUUCUCAUCUGUCUUCCACUAAACAUGCCCCUCUCAUAGCAUUCCUAUCUUAAAAAAUGACAUCCCAUUCCACCUGUUGUCAAUGCCAAAGACUUCUAAAAUAACCUUACUUCUUCUGUUUCCUUCACACCACACAUCAAAUCUGCUGCAAAUCCUAUUGGCCCUACCUAUCUUUGAAAUUUUUCCAGAAUGCAAUCCCUUCUUCCUCCUCCACUGCUUCCACUCUGGUCCAAUCCCCUUCGAUCUCCUUCCUGGAAUUUUACAAUAGUUUCCUAGCUGAUGUCUCUGUUUUCAAGGUUCCUUCCUGCAGGUUCUACACUGAAAAAGCAACCAGCACUUGAAAAGAAAGAGGGUUUCUGUAAUACUUUCUCAGGAUGAGUUUGAAGUUAUGCAUUUGGGGCAAAACUAUUGUAUAAGUGAGGUGUGUCCUUCUUGGUACAUCAUGAUGAAGUUGAUAUGUCUUAUUUCUAGAGAUUUUAAUCUUAAUAAUUUGUUUAAGGCAGUGCCUACAGAUUGUCCCCACUGUAAAGAAACAUAUCUAUGUAGACUUUUUGAACAUGUACAGUACAUGUUGUGUUUCUCUACAAACUUUGACUAGUCACCAGUAGAAGAAAAGGAUCCAGAAAAAGAAUGGAGUAUUGAACAUCUCUUGUGUCCUACUUCACAUUGUACUGUCACACUUUCUUAAAGCUGCCAUUUUUUGGAACAACCAGCUGAGCUAAAAUGUAAUCAGAUAGUAUCUUGUCAUAACUGUACAGAGUAACUUUGGGGACUUUAGCCAUAAGGAUUAGCUGGCAACAACAAAAAGGACAUUGUUGGAAUUCACUCAGAUAUACUUCCACAUGUGCAAAUGUGGAAGUGCAAUGUUGCUAAUUGUCUGAUGUGGUUUGGCUCUGUGUCCCCAACCAAAUCUCAUCUUGUAGCUUCCAUAAUUCUCAUGUGUUGUAAGAGGGACUGGAUGAGAGAUAAUUGAAUCAUGGCAGUGGGCCUUUCCUGUGUUGUUCUCAUGAUAGUGGAUAAGUCUCACAAGAUGUACCUCACGAUAUCUGAUGGCUUUCAAAACCGGAGUUUGGGUCGGGCCUGUUGGCUUAUGCCUGUAAUUCCAGCACUUUGGGAGGCCAAGGCUGGUGGAUCACCUC